rnacentral:snRNA from 1 species
GUGCUCACUUCAGCAGCACAUAUACUAAAAUUGGAACAAUACAGAGAUUAGCAUGGCGCCUGCGCAAGGAUGACACACAAAUUGUGAAGUGUUCCAUAUUUUU